rnacentral:rRNA from 1 species
UGCCAGCAGCCGCGGUAAUACGGAGGGGGUUAGCGUUGUUCGGAAUUACUGGGCGUAAAGCGCGCGUAGGCGGAUUGGAAAGUUAGAGGUGAAAUCCCAGGGCUCAACCCUGGAACUGCCUUUAAAACUCCCAGUCUAGAGUUCGAGAGAGGUGAGUGGAAUUCCGAGUGUAGAGGUGAAAUUCGUAGAUAUUCGGAGGAACACCAGUGGCGAAGGCGGCUCACUGGCUCGAUACUGACGCUGAGGUGCGAAAGUGUGGGGAGCAAACAGGAUUAGAAACCCCGGUAGUCC